AUUCUAGCAUAUCAAUAAGCGGAGGRRMARRAACUAACAAGGAUUCCCCUAGUAACUGCGAGUGAAGCGGGAAAAGCUCAAAUUUGAAAUCUGGCGGUCUCUGGCCGUCCGAGUUGUAAUCUAGAGAAGUAAUGCCCGUGCUGGACCGUGUACAAGUCUCCUGGGAUGGAGCGUCAUAGAGGGUGAGAAUCCCGUCUCUGACACGGACUACCAGUGCGUUGUGGUAUGCUCUCAACGAGUCGAGUUGUUUGGGAAUGCAGCUCAAAAUGGGUGGUAAAUUCCAUCUAAAGCUAAAUAUUGGCGAGAGACCGAUAGCGAACAAGUACCGUGAGGGAAAGAUGAAAAGAACUUUGGAAAGAGAGUUAAACAGUACGUGAAAUUGCUGAAAGGGAAACGCUUGAAGUCAGUCGCGUCGGCCAGGGAUCAGCCUUGCUCUUGCAUGGUGUAUUUUCUGGUUGACGGGUCAGCAUCAAUUUCGACCGCUGGAAAAGUUCCUGGGGAAUGUGGCAGCUCCGGCUGUGUUAUAGCCCCUGGUUGCAUACGGCGGUUGGGAUUGAGGAACUCAGCACGCCGCAAGGCCGGGUUUCGACCACGUUCGUGCUUAGGAUGCUGGCAUAAUGGCUUUAAGCGACCCGUCUUGAAACACGGACCAAGGAGUCUAACAUGCCUGCGAGUGUUUGGGUGGAAAACCCGAGCGCGCAAUGAAAGUGAAAGUUGAGAUCCCUGUCGUGGGGAGCAUCGACGCCCGGACCAGAACUUUUGGGACGGAUCCGCGGUAGAGCAUGUAUGUUGGGACCCGAAAGAUGGUGAACUAUGCCUGAAUAGGGUGAAGCCAGAGGAAACUCUGGUGGAGGCUCGUAGCGAUUCUGACGUGCAAAUCGAUCGUCAAAUUUGGGUAUAGGGGCGAAAGACUAAUCGAACCAUCUAGUWGCUGGUUCCUGCCGAAUUUUUCCCUCAAGAAA
rnacentral:rRNA from 1 species